rnacentral:rRNA from 1 species
AUUGAACGCUGGCGGCAGGCCUAACACAUGCAAGUCGAACGAGUGGCGGACGGGUGAGUAAUGUCUGGGACACUGCGCGAUGGAGGGGGAUAACUACUGGAAACGGUAGCUAAUACCGCAUACCAUCGGAUGUGCCGAGAUGGGAUUAGCUUGUAGGUGGGGUAACGGCUCACGUAGGCGACGAUCCCUAGCUGGUCUGAGAGGAUGACCAGCCACACUGGAACUGAGACACGGUCCAGACUCCUACGGGAGGCAGCAGUGGGGAAUAUUGCACAAUGGGCGCAAGCCUGAUGCAGCCAUGCCGCGUGUAUGAAGAAGGCCUUCGGGUUGUAAAGUACUUUCAGCGAGGAGGCGUUACUCGCAGAAGAAGCACCGGCUAACUCCGUGCCAGCCGCCGCGGUAAUUC